CGUGAGGGAAAGGUGAAAAGAACCCCGGGAGGGGAGUGAAAUAGAACCUGAAACCCUGCACUUACAAGCUGUAGGAGCACAUUUCUUGUGUGACUGCGUACUUUUUGUAGAACGGGCCAACGAGUUACGUUGUGUAGCAAGGUUAAGCACUUAAGGUGUGGAGCCGUAGCGAAAGCGAGUCUUAAAUGGGCGUCUAGUUACCCGACGUAGACCCGAAACCAGGCGACCUAUCCAUGAGCAGGUUGAAGCGAAAGUAAAAUUUCGUGGAGGACCGAACCCACGUACGUUGAAAAGUGCGGGGAUGACUUGUGGAUAGCGGUGAAAUUCCAAUCGAGCCUGGAGAUAGCUGGUUCUCCCCGAAAUAGCUUUAGGGCUAGCCUCAAGAUUAGAGAAGCGGAGGUAGAGCACUGAAUGUCCUAGGGGGUAUUGCACUUACCGAAGACUAUCAAACUCCGAAUGCCGUAUUCUUUUGCUUGGGAGUCAGACUAUGGGUGAUAAGAUUCAUAGUCAAGAGGGCAACAGCCCAGAUCGUCAGCUAAGGUCCCUAAAUGUAAGUUAAGUGGUAAAGGAUGUGGAAUUGCACAGACAACCAGGAUGUUGGCUUAGAAGCAGCCACUCAUUUAAAGAGUGCGUAAUAGCUCACUGGUCGAGUGAUUCUGCGCCGAAAAUUUCCGGGGCUAAAACUUACUACCGAAGCUACGGCAUCAUUAUGAUGGGUAGGGGAGCUUUCUAUACGGGUUGAAGCAUGACCGUAAGGACAUGUGGACUGUAUAGAAGUGAGAAUGUUGGCAUGAGUAGCGAGAUGUGGGUGAGAAUCCCACAGGCCGUAAACCCAAGGUUUCCAGGGGAAGGUUCGUCCGCCCUGGGUUAGUCAGGACCUAAGCCGAGGCCGAAAGGCGUAGGUGAUGGACAACAGGUUGAUAUUCCUGUACCACCAAUAACCGUUUGAGAAAUGGGAUGACACAGUAGGAUAAGCUAACCGCACUGUUGGUUAUGUGCGGGCAAGUAUUGAGGCAGUUCCGAUAGGCAAAUCCGUCGGAAUAAUGCUGGGGUACGAUGCGGAGCGAAAUUAAGUAGCGAAGUAGCUGAUUUCACACUGUCGAGAAAAGUCUCUAUCGAGGUUAAAGGUGCCUGUACCGCAAACCGACACAGGUGGGUGAGGAGAGUAUCCUAAGGCCAGCGAGAGAACUGUUGUUAAGGAACUCGGCAAAAUGACCCCGUAACUUAGGGAGAAGGGGUGCCUUCGAAAGAAGGCCGCAGAGAAUAGGCCCAAGCGACUGUUUACCAAAAACAUAGGUUUCUGCUAAGUCGCAAGACGAUGUAUAGGAGCUGACGCCUGCCCGGUGCUGGAAGGUUAAGGGGAUCUGUUAGAGCAAUCGAAGCAGUGAACUUAAGCCCCAGUAAACGGCGGCCGUAACUAUAACGGUCCUAAGGUAGCGAAAUUCCUUGUCGGGUAAGUUCCGACCCGCACGAAAGGCGUAACGAUUUGGGCACUGUCUCAACAACAGACUCGGUGAAAUUGUAAUACCGGUGAAGAUGCCGGUUACCUGCGACAGGACGGAAAGACCCCAUGGAGCUUUACUGUAGCUUGACAUUGAGUCUCGGUGCUACAUGUACAGGAUAGGUGGGAGACUAUGAAGCAUGGACGUCAGUCUGUGUGGAGUCAUCCUUGGGAUACCACCCUUGUAGUACUGGGAUUCUAACCAGAGGCCAUGAAUCUGGUCUUGGGACACUGUCAGGUGGACAGUUUGACUGGGGCGGUCGCCUCCCAAAAAGUAACGGAGGCGCUCAAAGGUUCUCUCAGUACGGUCGGAAAUCGUACGAAGAGUGUAAAGGCAAAAGAGAGCUUGAUUGCAAGACAUACAGGUCGAGCAAGGACGAAAGUCGGACUUAGUGAUCCGGUGGUUCCGCAUGGAAGGGCCAUCGCUCAACGGAUAAAAGCUACCCUGGGGAUAACAGGCU
rnacentral:rRNA from 1 species